GAACACAAAAUGGCGACACGUGGUUAGCAUUCGUCGCCAACGAGAAAUUGGGGUCGGCCCGAAAGCUCUAGAAUGCACCCCUCUUCCUCCCCGGGGCCUUCCACCUCCGCGAGUUUUAUGACUUAAAAAAGCCCACAGGCUGGUCUGAAGGUCGGAGGCCUAAUUUUAACGCGUUUUCCUCCCUUUAAUUUGAAACGGGAACGCGAAUGACUGUAAAAUAGGAAGACAAACAUAAAGAUGAAGUGCUUAAUUCAAGGUCACACAAUGUCGGGGAUGGACCUCCAGAUUUCCUUACUGGUGAGACGUGGUCUUGUAACACAGUGGUUAAGAAUGUGACUUUGGAGCCAGCCUGCUAGGGGCUGAAUUCUGACUCAGCCAUUUACUAACUGUGUGACCUUAGGUCACAGAAUUUUCCACACUCCUUGACAGAGGUGCUUAACCCUUAUCCAUCAGCAUUCUCAGACAGCACCUCCGGUUAGGGACAGUAUCUGACCGUCCGACAUCCCUGCAGCCCCCAUGUGUCACACAGACUCAGCCUCAGGUAGAUGGUUUCCGUAGAUGGUGGCUUUCUUUGGACCCUUGACAUCAACCAGUUACUAUUUGGGGACCAGAUGUGCAGAGGUAAUGAAUACCAGGGAAUCAGGAAACCACUGGAUCAGUUCUUUGAGCCACAGAACAACACUCAUCCCAGCAGCUGGGAAGCUAUCUGCAAAAGUCCAUCUGCAGAAAGGGCUUCCUGGUCUUGCGUGUGGCUGGGCCAUUUCUCUGGAUGCAGGUUUUUCAUUAUACAGUCUUCUCAAAGAACCACCUGCUCUCAACACCUUCUCGGUGACUCCAUUUCCCC
rnacentral:lncRNA from 1 species